ACAUAGGUCCCCAGAGAAUUUCAAUAUGUCUGAUGUCAAGAACGGAAAGUGAGACAGCCAGGUGGGAGGGGGUCCCUGGAGAAUCUCCAACCAGCCUGCGCACUGGGAAUGCGCACUGGAGUGAAAAUACAGAAGUUGGUGCCCUUUGCAGCAGCCAGGAGUCCGACUCCUCCUCUUCCUGUGUGGAACCUGGAAUUCAAACGGCUGGGGCCUCACUCACGGCAUAUGGAACUAACCACGCCCCUAACUAAGAAGGCACACCUUAGUUGCAGUUAGCACACAAUUAAAGCAACUCUCCAAGUUUUACCUUAAAGUUCAAAAUUGCUAGGAGUUGAAACUACUAGAAAUAUAUUUACAUGCAAGAGUCAAAGAAACUUUGAACUAUUUAUGGCCUUUAAUAAUUAAGUAAGGUAUACUCCUGUGAUCAAGACUUGGAGCAUAUUUGUUUCUCUCUGCCUGGUUCCUCUAGAAAUUGGAAACUAUCAGAACAGAGACCAACUCCGUUUCCCGAUCCCUUUGCAAUCUGCAUUGAACCAUGAGUCAAGUUCUUGAUAAAGGAGUGAAAAUGGAUGACAUUUAAGGCACAUCUGAAGAUGGGGAAACCACAGCACAGAAUAAGGCUGGGCCCUUGAAUCAAUAAAUGAAGGAGAACUACUCAAGAGAACAAAACCACCAGCAAUAUCCACCUGUAUUUGUCUUUUCAUAAUGUGUGACACAUGUGCUCAUGGAUUAUUGUCCGAAGCAAGACAUGUGACCAAGCCUAACAUCAACUGGGUGAAGAGCUAUAUGUUCCUUUCUCAAGAGGCACUACAAGUGACAUGCCACUGGGCAGAAAAUAAAUUGGAAUGAAGCCCAUGUGAAUGCAUGGAGACAAGGUGAAAAGGUAGAUGAGAAAAAAGUUGGAAAUAUUUGCAGGUACAUUUGACAGGACCAGGAGAUGUCUUGGGCAUUCAUGAUGAUGGAAGAGUGGUCAAUAAUGACUCUAUUUUCUAGCUUGUAUCAUGAGAUGAAUGGAGACCCGUAGAAGAAUAAGUUUUGUGAGUGACUGGGUCAUGUAAUAUAUUUUGGAUUUGUUAAAUGUGAACUACUUUUAAGAAACUGUGGGGAAAAACUUCGUUUUGUUUACAUCCAUGAAUCAUUUGAAGCACGAAAAAUAAUUCUCAGCUGAAGAUACAAAUAUGAGGGCCCUGGGUGUAUAACUGAAGGCACGAGUAUAAAUGGGAUUAUUUAGGGAGGGCUUAAAAGUGGAUAGAGAGUAAAUUCACAGACUAUAGGUACAAAAUAAUCACCAAUGACAAUAUAUUAUGCAGCUUAAGACCAAUUGUAUGUAUUUUCCUGACAAUGUCUUUUAGAGCCUGUGACUAGUUUUCUCCUGAAGAUGUGGUGAUCUUCUUAUCAAUUUUUAAGAGUACUUAAAUGUUUUAACAAUUAUAUUUAACUCAAAAUUAGUUUCCAACUUGUUUUCCUUUAAUUAUAAUUUAAAGUGUAUAUUUUAUGUGUACGAAUAUUAAAAAUUUAUGAAGUCAUAUCUAUUGCCUUUGUCUCUUAUUACUUUACCAAUGCUUACAAAAACUUUCCUCAUUAAUGCUUAUAUAAAUCUUCUUUUUUAUUGCAAAUUUUUCCAUUCUUCUGGUUUGUAAAAUGCCUAAAGUAAAAUGUGUAUCUGAAUUAAUUAAUCGUUAAAUAUCUUUUCAAUUUUCUCAACCCAAUAUAUUGGACAAUUCACCUCUUACUCCCAGAGUUUUAUCUCUACAUAUUAUUCCUAUGAAGCUUUUACACAUGCUGAGACUAAAUGGUCUGUUCUAUGUCAUUGAUUCUAUUUGCCUAGUUGUCUAUUUACCUUGUAGUUUUGAGGUAAUAAAUGGUCCUUUAAAC
rnacentral:lncRNA from 1 species